UACCAGCGCCCCGAGUGGUCGGGACGUUUAUUGGGCCUAAAGCAUCCGUAGCCGGUUCUACAAGUCUUCCGUUAAAUCCACCUGCUUAACAGAUGGGCUGCGGAAGAUACUAUAGAGCUAGGAGGCGGGAGAGGCAAGCGGUACUCGAUGGGUAGGGGUAAAAUCCGUUGAUCCAUUGAAGACCACCAGUGGCGAAGGCGGCUUGCCAGAACGCGCUCGACGGUGAGGGAUGAAAGCGUGGGGAGCAAACCGG
rnacentral:rRNA from 1 species